rnacentral:pre_miRNA from 1 species
AUAGCUUUUGGACUGUCAGUCUACGGAGAAAUUAUAUCCGCUCUGUGGAAGAUCUUCCCUUUGUCGU